rnacentral:rRNA from 1 species
CCUACGGGAGGCAGCAGUGGGGAAUAUUGCGCAAUGGGCGAAAGCCUGACGCAGCGACGCCGCGUGAGGGAUGAAGGUCUUCGGAUCGUAAACCUCUGUCAGCAGGGAAGAACGGUCACUGUGCUAAUCAGCAGUGAAUUGACGGUACCUGCAAAGGAAGCACCGGCUAACUCCGUGCCAGCAGCCGCGGUAAUACGGAGGGUGCGAGCGUUAAUCGGAAUUACUGGGCGUAAAGCGCUCGUAGGCGGUAUGUCAAGUCAAGGGGGAAAUCCCCGCGCUCAACGUGGGAACUGCCUUUGAAACGGGCAAACUGGAGUGUGUGAGAGGAUAGUGGAAUUCCAGGUGGAGGAGUGAAAUCCGUAGAUAUCUGGAGGAACAUCAGUGGCGAAGGCGACUAUCUGGCACAUAACUGACGCUGAGGAGCGAAAGCGUGGGUAGCAAACAGGAUUAGAUACCCCGGUAGUC